rnacentral:rRNA from 1 species
UUCCUGGAGCUAAACCUAUUCUAGGUAUGCCCUGCCCCAUGACUCGUGCAGUUAAAUGGCCGCGGUAAAGCGUGCAAAGGUAGCAAAAUCAUUUGCCUCUUAAUUAGGGGCCGGUAUGAACGGGUCAACGUUUGAACACCUGUCUCUUUUGAUUUAUUAAAAACUAACCUUCAGGUGAAGAUGCCUGAAUUCUAAUAGAAGACAAGAAGACCCUGUCGUACUUAAUUCCCACAAAGCUAACAAAACUAACAAGAAUUUAGUUGGGGCGACUGUAGUAUUAAACACUUAUAAAAGCUUUCCGACCCACAGUUCUCAAAUGACCCUCAAAGAGAUCAUAGAAACAAGUAACCGCAGGGAUAACAGACUAAUCCCCUUCCCGAGUCCUUAUCUACAAGGGGGCUUGGCACCUCGAUGUUGGCUCAGGGACUCUAAUAGGUGCAGNAGCUUAUUAUAGAAGGUUUGUUCAACCUUUAAACCCCU